rnacentral:lncRNA from 1 species
CAUUCUGCUUUGAGUUGCUGGUUGAACUUUGCCAGUAAAUACUGUUAUCAGGCUCAUAAUACUCUACAGGGUGUUGAAUUUUUCUGAUGUGGUUUUCUGUGCAGCAACCGCAUUCACAUGGAGCAGUCUGCGUGUAUUCUCCUGCUUCCCGUGGACAUUAUCACCAGUCUUGCUUUAUUGGAGGGAAACUUUAUAGGUAAUACACGUAUAUUUAUCCUUUUUUAUGAUGAGCAUACAGUUUGAUUGAAUGUUUUUUUUUUUUAUUCUUUCAGUGAAGGAUCAUCGGCUAUCAAUGAUGGAGCAACUUAAAAGUAAAACCUCCUGUAUUUCCAUGAUUUGCAUCAGCCUAAAAUAUAUUCCAAGGAUCACUCUCAUGGAUGCCAGCUGUCAGCCCUGUCCUCCUGCUGUAGUGGUGGAUGCAGUGUUGUCAUUGUUGAGGCUGUGCAGUGGACUUUCUCCUCCCUCGCCGGCUGGCUGUGUUACAAUGUUUAGAAAUGUGACUGGGAGUGGUAAAGUUCAGAAAUGUGCCCUGGAGGCUCUGUCAGCUCUCAGCAGCAGCCCAGUGUUUUUCAGAAGUGAAAGUCAUGCUGGUUGAAGUUUUCACCCUCCUGAUAGAGUACCUGAACCAUCCUGACUCGGACCCUACUGUAAGUUUAUAUCAGCAUCCUGUUUUAUUUUUGCUUAUUAAUUCUGUUGUUGAAUUUCAUCCCUUUUUGAAGCUGUCUUUGAGGUAAGUUAGCGCAGAUGA